rnacentral:lncRNA from 1 species
GGCGUGUCUCGCUUCGGCGAGUCCGCGGACGAUGGCGCGGGGUGGGUCUACUCCAAGGAGGAAGGGUUAGCGCCGAGCGAGCUGGCUUCGAGGGGUUUCCAGUACCUCGUGUCGGGGUCGGGCUCGGUGCCGGGGUACGAGGUGGUGGAGGCUGUGGAGGGGUUUAAGGGUCUGGCGGUGACGCCAACGCGGUGGCCGGUGGUGCGCGCGCGGACGGAGCCGAUGAUUUGGCUGCACAGGCGUCUCGUGGACGACGAUGAAGACGACGGGGAGGGUGAGGCACC